rnacentral:misc_RNA from 1 species
AGAUGAGUUUAGCUGGUUUGGAGAAAUGGAAACCACCUCUUCCACCAUCCUCGAGAGCCCCAUUUUUGCGGAUGAGAGGAGCACGGCGGAGGCUGACGCGGCGAUGUUUUUCCCUAUGAGAGAAGAGGAUGAAUCUCUGUUCGCCGAUCUGGGUGAGCUGCCGGAAUGCUCGGCUGUGUUCAGGCACCACCGUGGAGUGGGCCCACAGGUCCAGAUCUGCUGACACUUUACAUUGUCAUCACGCGGGUUAUAAAAUUCAUAGGUGGGCGUAUAAUGCACCACAAGAUAACAAAAUAGAAAUUAAUUUUCUUCUUCUUCUUCUUCUUCAUCCUCUCCUAAUUUACUACUCUGUUUUUCUUUUCUUGUUAAUUUAAUUCUUGUUUUUAGUUUCCAUUUUCCUUGAUUUCAGUGUAGUAAGUGAAUAAAAGUCCAAUUCUGAAGUCUGUCGCG